rnacentral:rRNA from 1 species
AUUGAACGCUGGCGGCAGGCCUAACACAUGCAAGUCGAGCGAGAGGAGGACGGGUGUGUAAGGUAUGGGGAACUGCCUGAUGGAGGGGGAUAACUACUGGGAACGGUAGCUAAUACCGCACACCCUAAGAUAAACCCAAAUGGGAUUAGCUAGUAGGUGAGGUAAAGGCUCACCCACGCGACGAUCCCUAGCUGGUCUGAGAGGAUGAUCAGUCACACUGGAACUGAGACACGGCCCAGACUCCUACGGGAGGAAGCAGUGGUGAAUAUUGCACAGUGGGCGCAAGCCUGAUGCAGCCAUGCCGCGUGUAUGAAGAAGGCCUUCGGGUUGUAAAGUACUUUCAGUCGGGAGGCGUUACCCGCAGAAGAAGCACCGGCUAACUCCGUGCCAGCAGCCGCGGUAAUAC